rnacentral:rRNA from 1 species
UACGUAGGGUGCGAGCGUUAAUCGGAAUUACUGGGCGUAAAGCGUGCGCAGGCGGUUCGUUGUGUCGGUGGUGAAAGCCCCGGGCUUAACCUGGGAAUGGCCAUGGAAACUGGCGAACUGGAGUGUGGCAGAGGGGGGUGGAAUUCCGCGUGUAGCAGUGAAAUGCGUAGAGAUGCGGAGGAACACCGAUGGCGAAGGCAGCCCCCUGGGCUAACACUGACGCUCAUGCACGAAAGCGUGGGGAGCAAACAGG